CCAACAUGGACACCCCGGGAGGUCACUCUCCCCGGGCUCUGUCCUCGUGGCCUAGGGGGGAGCAUAGGGCUCUGCCCAAUGAUGUAUAGUCCCUUUCCACAAUGUUGGAUAUGAAGCCGGGCUUUGUGUCUGCGCCUGCAUAUUCCUACAGCUUCCCAGAGUCCUGUGGGCAAUGACUGGGGAGAUAAACCAUGCAGGAAACAAUG